GCCCAGGCUGGUCAAAUAGCCCCACCCCAAAGUACACCUGGGUGGGACACUUCCGCCAGAGAUUUUGCAGAUUGGGUGGCAGGGAAGCCAAUCAGACCCAGGCCGUGGUUCAUUGGUCCUGGGGGUUGGAAAUCUUCCAUACCCACAGAGGAAGAGGGAGCGGGCCCAACCAGCUGCGUAAGUGAUUGGCCCUGGCUUCCGCCAUUCGUUUUAGUUUAUGUCUCCGUCACUGCCACGUCACCCCGUUCCAUCACUCCUUCCUCAUACCCUCUUCCGCCCUCGCCGAUUGGUUGUUCGGCUCCUGCUCUGGUUUACUUUAACAGUCUUGAGCCAAUCAAGAUCCUGAUAGGAGGAGUCCCUGCCCACGCCGGGCUUCAGGAUCUUCAGAUACAGGUUGGGGUUUUAAACACCUGGUUUUCGGGGAGAAGAUGCAAGCUUUCAGGACCCACAGAUAUGCAGGCAUGGGCAAGGCCUGUCCCCAGACCAGAGUUUUACCUCCUGCUGUCUCCCACGUCCCUAUGCGCCUGCGUGCCCCGCCCAACUCCCCUCCCGCCCCACCCCGGGCCAAUUUCUCCCCCUUCUCCCCUUCCAGCUUUUACCCUUUCAUUCAAGGCCCUUCACUCCUCCAUGAAGCAUCCUCCACCCUCGCUCCCAGGACAGUUCUAUUUAACGAAGAAUUGAGGUUCCAGGGGCAGAGCCGGCCCAUUCUGGUUAACUCAAAUUCCAUUCAUUUAUCCCUCUAUUCAACAAAAGAUUAUCACGAAGGGAACAGUUUCAGAAAAAGGUGAGAAGACUUGUGUGGACUGAUCCAUUGGGAAGUGAGCAGAACCAGGAGAACGAUUUAAGCAGUAACAACAUCAGCACUGUCUGCAGAGAAGACUGAAAAACUCCAAAUGAAUUUCCCCGAGUGUAUGUUAGGGUUGUGAUUUGUUGUCUGAAAAUCUGUUUUCCAUGCCUUGUUCUUUAUGGGUGACUUGAAUAAUAAGCAAGUUAAUUAAACUUUCCAAGCUUCAGUUUGCUCAUCUGCUAAAUGAGGAUAAAAGUCUUGGUACUUCCUGCCUCACUGUAAGUCUUUUGUAAAGUUUAAAGCCCUCUAGAAUUGUGAGUUAUUGUGAUUAGGAAGAUGAAAUCAGAAAUAGUCACCAUCUUCAAAGAUCUCAGUCUUGUAAAUUCUGACAGUCGCUCAUUCAGCAGAUAUUUAUUACAUACAUAUCCUUUGGAACAGGUCAAGCUCCAUAAUUAUGGGUCAGACUCACACAACUCAAUUGGAAAGCCAGGAAUCCAACCCAGCUGCUUUUUUAUGCCUCCCUAUUCUGCUCAGAUGGUCCCAAGACUUCACCUUGAUGGCCCUCUGAUACUUUGAGAUAUCUUGACUCAGGCUCCUUAUACUCCACUCAUCAACCUUCUUUUUCUGACUUUACUAAUUCUGACGGUGACAACGUCCUUCAUCAGCUUCCUGUGUGAUAAACCGGUGGAUGAUUUUUUGAUUCUUCCCUGUCUCUCAUCUCACAUCUGCUUGAUUAUCUUGUCUCCAUUUUCCUAUUUCCUCUUGUCUGUUCUUACUACUGCUCUUGAAAGAGCUUCAUUACCACACUCAUCCUACUGCAGUAGAUUCUAAAAUGUCUUCCUGCUUCCUCUCUCUGGUUCUUCCAAGCCAUUCUUCCUUCUCUUGCCACAAUAAUCUUCCAUUAUGUGGUCGGUCAUAUCAUUCCUCUGAUCAGAAAUGUUCUCUGUUUCCCUAUUGCCUCCAGAGUAAACAAACUGCCUUAUCUUCUCUCUACAAUCUAGAGGUACAAAUGAUUUGUCUUUCUCAUGUGCUACUUUGGACUACUUGGACUACUUUAUGCUCCAGCCAAACUGGUCAAACUAACUGUGCCUUAGGACUUUGGCUCACAUUCUUCUCCAUGCAUAUAAUAGCCUCUCUUCAUCUCUUGAAUUCUGACCAGCUCUUUAUAGCCCACCUGUACCGGGAUGUCAUAUCCAACAAUUGUCUCCCAUCCAUACAUCCACACAUAAAUAUUACUCAAGAUUCCUUAGAAGAUAUAAAAACAGAGCUAAACCUUAUCAUUGGCCCUCUGACUAUUAAUGGUAAAAAAAGGUAGUAGGGCAUGUCAAAGUUGUUCACUUCUGUGAUGGAGAAGAUCCAGUACAGAGUUCAAAUUGAAGAGAUGAUGAAGUCAUCCACAUGUUCUUGUAAUGAAUGAUAUUGCCCUGGGGGCAUCCAAACUAUAAUAUUGCAAGCUUCCUCUAAUAGAUCAAUCUGUAAACAAUUAUUGAGCAUCUACUAUGUGCCAGUGCUUGUAAUACAAAAAGAGGUAAAAGACCAUUCUUGAGUUCAAGGAGCUUAAAAUCUAAUAUGAGAGAAGAUUUGUAAACAAUUGUAUACAAACAAGCUUGUUAAGUUGCUUCAGUUGUGCCCUGACCCCAUUUUGGUUUUUCUUUGCAAAGGUACUUUAAUGGUUUGCUAUUUCUUUCUCUAGUCUCAUUGGAUAGAUGAGGAAACUGAGGCAAACAGUUCUAAAUGACUUGCCCAGGGUCACACAGCUAGUAACUAUCUGAAACCAGUCUGCACUCUAUCCACUAUGUGACUUAGUUGCUUUUACAAACAAGCUAUCUAUAGGAUAAAUAAGAAAAAAUUAAUGGAAGGAAGGCACUAGAAUUAAGGGUUGGGAAAGGCUUCCUUUCAAAUAUGAAAUUUUAGUUGGGGUUUUAACCCAGAAAAUCAGGAAGAAUUGAAGAGGGAAGGUGUUUCAGGCAGCCAGAGAAGCCAAGAGAUGGAAUGUUUUGUUUAUGAAUCAACUGGGAGACCAAUACAACUGGAUCAGAAAGACUAGAAAGGUCGAAAGGGACUAGGUUAUGAGAGGCUUUGAACGCCAACUAGGUAACCUUAGGGAGCCAUAUACUAUUCAAAAUUAUUUUGUCUGUUACUAAACUUCUACCUCAAGGAGGUCAUUGAUAAGAAGAAAGUCCUUAUAUGUAAAAAUAUGUGUAACAAGUCUUUGUGAAAUCAAAGAAUUGGGAACAAAGUCAAUGUUAAUGACUGUAAUGGGGAAAUUUAAGGCUUCUGGGAGAAGGUUAUAAUAUAGUAAUGGUUACAAAUGUGGCUACAAGAUUUAUAUAAUAUUAACAAUGGCCGCCAAGGAAUUUACUUAUGAAAUUCCUAAAAUGAAACACUCAAGUCAGAAUGAGGUUUAUGGAGGUUUAAUCACACUGGGAGUAGGGAAAAGGUUAGGGAGAGAAGGAGAGAAGAGAAAAGGGAAAGAGGCUACUCAACCUCUGACCAAGGCAGAGGGAGUUUAGGCCUAAAGGCCCAGGUGGAAAGAACCAGUCCUUAACUCACGUGACCGAUCUGAAGGAAAGCUGUCUGCGGGCGUCCUCUCUCUCCAAGCUCCUAACACCCACUCCCCCUAGCUCUCUCCACAGGAAGUUCCGCCAAUCCCAGAGGCUGUUCCCUACCUCUCUUCCUGUGUCUCACAAAUCCAAUGGUUGGCUCUAGCUUGGCUUAGGACAGCCCAGGUGGGCAGUUAGUUAUUUCUGAUUAGUCAUUGACUAGCGCAUGCCCGUGUAGGUGGGUGUGCACAAUUUUUGGGUGCUAGACCAAGAUGGAGACUUUUAAAAUUCACAUGACUCAGCAUGUGAAUAUAAAGUAAUUUGACUCCUAUAAGAAAUCAUUGUUAUGAUAGAGACAGAAAAGGGUGGAAAGAUUCACAUAAAUUGAUGCAGAAUGAAGUAAGCAGAGCCAAGAAAACAACAUGCAAUAAAUAUGGUGAUUGCCAUACCACCAAUAGAAAGGACAACUACUGUGGAUGAGGAAAUAAUAAUAUAAAUAAUCAAUAAUCUAUAAAGAUCAACCACCUCAUACACUACCAAAAAAUCAAAAGUUGAUGUUUCAGAAUUACAAAGAACAAGGAUGACUCUAAAGAAGAAAGAGCAGAAGACUCUCCAACCCUACCUCUUUGCAGAGGUGGGUGGGCCCCAAGGUAUUAUACUACACAUAUUUUCAGACCUUUUGGAUAUAUUUAGUGUAUGCAUAUACAUGUAUGCAUAAUUGAUGUUUUUUUGUACCUACUUGUAGAUAUAAAAACAUAUAUCUGGGAGGGGAAGGAGAGGGACUGGAGAAAUUUUUGGUGAUAUGAAACAACCAAAAGGACAUCAAUAAAAUGUAUUUCUUAGAAAAGAAAGGCCAUGAUCAUGUCAUGGGCAUUGUACCCCUAGAAACUCAGACAAACUAUUAUCAGGGAAAUUCCUUUGCUCCCUUAUACCCAGCCUCUGACUCCCAACCCCAAAACAUCUGACCUUGAGAGGAUUAUCCUCCUUUGAUUGUCCCAUUGAUCCAAAUCAUAAGAACCAACCCCAUGCCUUCAGGGAAAACUCCUCCCCAACCCCUUGCCCCAGAAUCAAGUCUUCAUGGGGAGCUCCCCAAUGCCUCUAUGCUGUCUUGCUUGCCAAAAAUGCAACAUUACUAAUAAAUCUCUCUUUACUUUUAA